rnacentral:rRNA from 1 species
CGUAGGGGGCAAGCGUUGUCCGGAUCUAUUGGGCGUAAAGAGCUCGUAGGUGGUUCGGUAAGUCGGAUGUGAAAUCUCCAGGCUCAACCUGGAGGGGUCAUUCGAUACUGCCGUGACUAGAGGUCGGUAGGGGAGUGUGGAAUUCCUGGUGGAGCGGUGAAAUGCGCAGAUAUCAGGAGGAACACCCGUAGCGAAGGCGGCACUCUGGGCCGAUACUGACACUGAGGAGCGAAAGCGUGGGGAGCGAACAGGAUUAGAUACCCUGGUAGUCCACGCCGUAAACGUUGGGCACUAGGUGUGGGACUCUAUCGACGGGUUCCGUGCCGUAGCUAACGCAUUAAGUGCCCCGCCUGGGGAGUACGGCCGCAAGGCUA